rnacentral:rRNA from 1 species
UUAUACCACCAUAGGACUGGCCGUCCCCAUAUGAAAAGAUUAUAUUAGAAUUGAAUGAAGCUUUGUUUAUAUAUUGAUAAUGACAGUAUAUAUAUCGUGUCUUGACUAAUUGCGUGCCAGCAGUCGCGGUAAUACGUAAGAGACUAGUGUUAUUCAUCUUAAUUAGGUUUAAAGGGUACCCAGACGGUCAAUAUAGCUUAUAAAAUGUUAGUACUUGACUAGAGUUUUAUGUAAGAGGGCAGUACUUGAGGAGGAGAGAUGAAAUUUCGUGAUACCAAAGGGACUCUGUAAAGGCGAAGGCAGCCCUCUAUGUAAAAACUGACGUUGAAGGACGAAGGCACAGAGAACAAACAGGAUUAGAUACCCAAGUAGUCUUUGCAGUAAAUGAUGAAUGCCAUAGGUUAGAUGGGUGGGUAGUUGUAGUCGAGUUAAUUUAGCAAACUAAUGAUCUAGACUAGCCCACCAUACAUUUGGUCUAUAAAUGAAAGUGUAAGCAUUUCACCUCAAGAGUAAUGUGGCAACGCAGGAAC